rnacentral:rRNA from 1 species
AGAGUUUGAUCAUGGCUCAGAUUGAACGCUGGCGGCAGGCCUAACACAUGCAAGUCGAGCGGAUGAUGGGAGCUUGCUCCCGGAUUCAGCGGCGGACGGGUGAGUAAUGCCUAGGAAUCUGCCUGGUAGUGGGGGACAACGUUUCGAAAGGAACGCUAAUACCGCAUACGUCCUACGGGAGAAAGCAGGGGACCUUCGGGCCUUGCGCUAUCAGAUGAGCCUAGGUCGGAUUAGCUAGUUGGUGGGGUAAAGGCCUACCAAGGCGACGAUCCGUAACUGGUCUGAGAGGAUGAUCAGUCACACUGGAACUGAGACACGGUCCAGACUCCUACGGGAGGCAGCAGUGGGGAAUAUUGGACAAUGGGCGAAAGCCUGAUCCAGCCAUGCCGCGUGUGUGAAGAAGGUCUUCGGAUUGUAAAGCACUUUAAGUUGGGAGGAAGGGCAGUAAGUUAAUACCUUGCUGUUUUGACGUUACCAACAGAAUAAGCACCGGCUAACUUCGUGCCAGCAGCCGCGGUAAUACGAAGGGUGCAAGCGUUAAUCGGAAUUACUGGGCGUAAAGCGCGCGUAGGUGGUUUGGUAAGAUGGA